rnacentral:rRNA from 1 species
UUCUGGCUCAGGAUGAACGCUAGCGGCAGGCUUAACACAUGCAAGUCGAGGGGCAGCGCGAGUAGCAAUACUUGGCGGCGACCGGCGCAAGGGUGCGUAACGCGUGAGCAACAUGCCCGUAUCAGGGGGAUAAUCCAGGGAAACUUGGUCUAAUACCCCAUAGUAAUUUUGUAAGGCAUCUUAUAAGAUUUAAAGCUUUGGUGGAUACGGAUUGGCUCGCGUGACAUUAGCUGGAUGGUAAGGUAACGGCUUACCAUGGCUAUGAUGUCUAGGGGUUCUGAGAGGAAGGUCCCCCCACACUGGAACUGAGACACGGUCCAGACUCCUACGGGAGGCAGCAGUGAGGAAUAUUGGACAAUGGAUGGAAAUCUGAUCCAGCCAUGCCGCGUGAAGGAAGAAAGGUCCUAUGGAUUGUAAACUUCUUUUGUAUGGGAGCAAUAAGGCCUACGAGUAGGUUGAUGAGAGUACCAUACGAAUAAGCACCGGCUAACUCCGUGCCAGCAGCAGC